rnacentral:tRNA from 1 species
GGUUUGUGGCUCAGCGGUAAAGUGCUCGCCUCUCACAUGCGAGGCCCUGGGUUUGAUCCUCAGCACCA